ACCUCUGCUCUGCCGCUGCUUGUGUCACUUAUGCUUAUGCUAUGACAGCCUGGGAGGGAAGCGCAGUAGCGCUCUUGUUGAGAGUUGCUAAGUAAAGAUGUAGCGUAAAUGAAAUUUGCCCCAGAGGAGCUGGACAUCGACGUCAUCAUCAUUAAUAACAGGCGGGGGAAGCUACUAGCUAGCUGUAACGGUAAAGUAAUUAAAAGUGAUGAGGAUGAGGACGACGUGCUCUUUUUCCACGUCUUUUCCAAUAUGAAUAUCUGCUGUGCGUGGUUUGGCAGUGAAGGGCCGAUGUAACGUUUCGAUCAGGCUGUGUGUGUCGUUUGUUUGUUUGUUUGUUUGUGGGCCACGGACGGAGCACAGAAAAUGGCGCUCAUGGUGUGUCCUCUCCUCAACUGCCCUCAUCUGUGUCCUCAUCGUCGGCCCUUUUGUCUCACUGCUCGCUCGAGGAGGAUCCGACUGAUGAUGUCAUCAUGUGAUCCCCAGGGUGCCUGGUCUCCAGCCUGAUCUACUGGAAAUCCUCCCUCUGGCUGAGCCACACCUGGUUCUUCUGUGUUUGCUGUGUUUAUGGAAUCAUGACUACGGCACCGGUGAGCAUGGAAUCCUCUUAAGCUCAGUGUGACGCACACAGGCUUACAGCACAGAAGAAGGGGUAUCCGUGCCAUGGUCGAUCUCAGCAGGACUGCAUCAGAAAGAUGACUCCACAUUUCUUCCUUGUUCUUCUUCUGUUACCUCUGCAAGUAUUCCCUGAAGG